GGAGAGGUGCCGGAGUCCGGUCGAUCGGGGCGCCCUGCUAAGGCGUUGACGGGUGCAAGCCCGUCCGUGGGUUCAAAUCCCACCCUCUCCG
rnacentral:tRNA from 1 species